AUACUUACCUGGCAGGGGAGAUACCAUGAUCACGGAGGUGGUUUUCCCAGGGCGAGGCUUAUCCAUUGCACUCCGGAUGUGCUGACCCCUGCGAUUUCCCCAAAUGUACAUAUACACAAUGGAGUACUACGCAGCGGUAAGAAAGAAAGAUCUCUUAAUCUUUG